rnacentral:piRNA from 1 species
UUUGUGUUUGAUACCCUGAGAAGCC